rnacentral:pre_miRNA from 1 species
UUUGACCGUUCAUCUUAUUUGAUUAGUAUUUCUAUUGCUAUUAGAUGAUAAAACAUGAAUAAUACUUUAUGUGUGACUAAAUAUUUUCAAAUUUUUCAUAAAUUUUUUAAAUAAGACGGACGGUUAAA